AGCUCAGCUGGAUAGAGCAUACGCCUUCUAAGCGUACGGUCAGAGGUUCGAAUCCUCUAAGGC
rnacentral:tRNA from 1 species